AUACCUUCUCGGCCCCAAAGGCUAAGAUCAAGUGUAGUAUCUGUUCUUAUCAGUGUGAAAACUGGUAUCCACUCAUCAAGUGGCGAUUUUCACAAAAAUUUUUAUUGGGAGCAAGAUAUCUUCAGCUUGCUGCAGAUUCUUGCAAAGGGUUGCCCUUGUGCUGCACUUUCUGCAAGGAGCAGUCCACCCCUU